rnacentral:rRNA from 1 species
UACGUAGGGGGCAAGCGUUGUCCGGAUUUAUUGGGCGUAAAGAGCGUGUAGGCGGCCAUGCAGGUCAGCUGUGAAAACUCGAGGCUCAACCUCGAGACGUCGGUUGAAACCGUAUGGCUAGAGUCCGGAAGAGGAGAGUGGAAUUCCCGGUGUAGCGGUGAAAUGCGCAGAUAUCGGGAAGAACACCCGUGGCGAAGGCGGCUCGCUGGACCGCAACUGACGCUGAGGAACGAAAGCUAGGGGAGCAAACAGG